UACGGGGGGGGCAAGCGUUGUUCGGAAUUACUGGGCGUAAAGGGCUCGUAGGCGGCCAACUAAGUCGGAUGUGAAAUCCCCAGGCUCAACCUGGGAACUGCAUCCGAUACUGGAUGGCUUGAAUCCGGGAGAGGGAUGCAGAAUUCCAGGUGUAGCGGUGAAAUGCGUAGAUAUCUGGAGGAACACCGGUGGCGAAGGCGACAUCCUGGACCAACACUGACGCUGAGGAGCGAAAGCCAGGGGAGCAAACGGG
rnacentral:rRNA from 1 species